UGACAGGACAGGAGGUCAGAUACAUCUGG
rnacentral:piRNA from 1 species